rnacentral:rRNA from 1 species
UUGCGGUACUCUGACCGUGCAAAGGUAGCAUAAUCAUUUGCCUUAUAAUUGAAGGCUUGUAUGAAUGGUUUGACAAGAAUAUGGCUGUCUCUAUAUAAUUUUAUAGAAUUUUAUUUUGAAGUGAAGAAGCUUCAAUUUAAUUAAUAGACAAGAAGACCCUAUCGAGCUUAAAAAAAAUUUAUUGAAGUUUUUAAUAGAUUUAGAAAUUUGUCUGUAAAGUACUUUAGUUGGGGCGACUUAGGAACAAAUGAAGCUUCCUAAAUGUGUUAGUGAGCAAAGUGAUCCAAAAUAUUUUGAUUAAUGAAAUUAGUUACCGUAGGGAUAACAGCAUUAUCUUCUUUAAGAGUUCUAAUCGAAAAGAGGGUUUGUGACCUCGAUGUUGGACCAGAAUAUCCUGAAGAUGCAGCAGUCUUUAAGGGUUGGUCUGUUCGACCAUUAAAAUUCUACGUGAA